rnacentral:tRNA from 1 species
AUAAAGGUAAGCUAAUUUAAGCUAAUGGGUUCAUACCCCAUCCAUGGAGGUUGUAAUCCACCCCUUUUUA